rnacentral:rRNA from 1 species
GACGAACGCUGGCGGCAUGCCUAACACAUGCAAGUCGAACGGAACUUGUUGAAUGAAGUUUUCGGAUGGAUUUUGAUAAGUUUAGUGGCGGACGGGUGAGUGACGCGUGAGCAACCUGCCUUUCAGAGGGGGACAACAGUUGGAAACGACUGCUAAUACCGCAUAACGUAUCGGAACCGCAUGGCUCUGAUACCAAAGAUUAUAUCGCUGAAAGAUGGGCUCGCGUACGAUUAGAUAGUUGGUGAGGUAACGGCUCACCAAGUCGACGAUCGUUAGCCGGACUAAGAGGGUGGACGGCCACAAGGGGACUGAGAUACGGCCCUU